rnacentral:rRNA from 1 species
UACGUAGGGGGCAAGCGUUGUCCGGAAUCAUUGGGCGUAAAGAGCGUGUAGGCGGCUUGGCAAGUCUCGCGUGAAAUCCUGCGGCUCAACCGCAGGCGGUCGCGGGAAACUGCCUCGCUAGAGUCCGGAAGAGGAGAGUGGAAUUCCUGGUGUAGCGGUGGAAUGCGCAGAUAUCGGGAGGAACACCUGUGGCGAAAGCGGCGCACUGGACCACAUCUGACGCUGAGGCGCGAAAGCUAGGGGAGCAAACAGG